UACGUAGGGGGCGAACGUUGUCCGGAUUUACUGGGUGUAAAGGGUGCUCAGGCGGUCUUGUAAGUCAGAGGUGAAAUCUCAAGGCUUAACCUUGAAACUGCCUUUGAUACUGCUGGGCUUGAGUACGGAAGAGGCGGAUGGAAGUCCUGGUGUAGCAGUGAAAUGCGUAGAUAUCAGGAGGAACACCGGUGGCGAAGGCGAUCCGCUGGCCCGUUACUGACGCUAAAGCACGAAAGCGUGGGGAGCAAACAGG
rnacentral:rRNA from 1 species